GUUAUAUGGUCAAGCGAAUAAGCGCACACGGUGGAUGCCUUGGCGGUCAGAGGCGAUGAAGGACGUGGCAGCCUGCGAAAAGUAUCGGGGAGCUGGCAACAAGCUUUGAUCCGGUAAUGUCCGAAUGGGGAAACCCACCCGCUUGCGGGUAUCCUGCAGUGAAUACAUAGCUGCUGGAAGCGAACCUGGUGAACUGAAAUAUCUAAGUAACCAGAGGAAAAGAAAUCAACCGAGAUUCCGUAAGUAGCGACGAGCGAACGCGGACUAGCCCUUAAGCUGAUUUGGUUCUAGGAAAACGCUCUGGAAAGAGCGGCCAUAGAAGGUGAUAGCCCUGUAUCUGAAAGGGCCAUUUCAGUGAAGACGAGUAGGGCGGGGCACGUGAAACCCUGUCUGAACAUGGGGGGACCAUCCUCCAAGGCUAAAUACUACUGACCGACCGAUAGUGAACCAGUACCGUGAGGGAAAGGCGAAAAGAACCCCGGAGAGGGGAGUGAAAUAGAACCUGAAACCGUGUGCGUACAAGCAGUAGGAGCUCCGCAAGGAGUGACUGCGUACCUUUUGUAUAAUGGGUCAGCGACUUACUGUUCGUGGCAAGCUUAACCGUAUAGGGGAGGCGAAGGGAAACCGAGUCUGAUAAGGGCGCAUAGUCGCGGGCAGUAGACCCGAAACCGGGUGAUCUAGUCAUGCCCAGGGUGAAGGUGCGGUAACACGCACUGGAGGCCCGAACCCACUCCCGUUGCAAAGGUAGGGGAUGAGGUGUGAUUAGGAGUGAAAAGCUAAUCGAACCCGGAGAUAGCUGGUUCUCCUCGAAAGCUAUUUAGGUAGCGCCUCAUAUGUAUCCUCUCGGGGGUAGAGCACUGUUAUGGCUAGGGGGUCAUCGCGACUUACCAAACCAUUGCAAACUCCGAAUACCGAGACGGACUGUAUGGGAGACACACGGCGGGUGCUAACGUCCGUCGUGAAAAGGGAAACAACCCAGACCCACAGCUAAGGUCCCAAAUUUUGUGCUAAGUGGAAAACCAUGUGGAAAGGCACAGACAGCCAGGAGGUUGGCUUAGAAGCAGCCACCCUUUAAAGAAAGCGUAAUAGCUCACUGGUCGAGUCGGUCUGCGGGGAAGAUUUAACGGGGCUAAGCACAGAACCGAAGCUUGGGGUGCAUACUUUGUAUGCGCGGUAGAGGAGCGUUCCGUAAGCCGUUGAAGGUGGAUUGAGAAGUCUGCUGGAGGUAUCGGAAGUGCGAAUGCUGACAUGAGUAACGAUAAUGCGGGUGAAAAACCCGCACGCCGAAAGCCCAAGGUUUCCUUGCGCAACGUUAAUCGGCGCAGGGUGAGUCGGCCCCUAAGGCGAGGACGAAAGUCGUAGUCGAUGGGAAGCAGGUUAAUAUUCCUGCACCUCGCGUAAGUGCGAUGGAGGGACGGAGAAGGUUAGGUGUACCAGGCGUUGGUUGUCCUGGGGAAAGGCGGUAGGUUUGGAUCUUUGGCAAAUCCGGGAUCCUUUAAGACCGAGCACCGAGACGAGCCUUUAUGGCGAAGUCACUGAUACCACGCUUCCAGGAAAAGCUCCUAAGCUUCAGCUUACGCAGACCGUACCGUAAACCGACACAGGUGGGUAGGAUGAGAAUUCUCAGGCGCUUGAGAGAACUCGGGUGAAGGAACUAGGCAACAUGGCACCGUAACUUCGGGAGAAGGUGCACCCUUGGUGGUGGCUCAUGCGAGCACAAGCUACCGAGGGUCGCAGUAACCAGGCCGCUGCGACUGUUUAUCAAAAACACAGCACUCUGCAAACACGAAAGUGGACGUAUAGGGUGUGACGCCUGCCCGGUGCUGGAAGGUUAAUUGAUGGGGUCAGCCGCAAGGCGAAGCUCUUGAUCGAAGCCCCAGUAAACGGCGGCCGUAACUAUAACGGUCCUAAGGUAGCGAAAUUCCUUGUCGGGUAAGUUCCGACCUGCACGAAUGGCGUAACGACAGCGGCGCUGUCUCCACCCGAGACUCAGUGAAAUUGAAAUCGCUGUGAAGAUGCAGCGUUCCCGUGGCAAGACGGAAAGACCCCGUGAACCUUUACUAUAGCUUUACACUGAACGUUGAGUUCGUCUGUGUAGGAUAGGUGGGAGGCUAUGAAACUGUGGCGCUAGCUGCAGUGGAGCCAUCCUUGAAAUACCACCCUGUCGUGCUUGACGUUCUAACCUGGGCCCAUUAUCUGGGUCGGGGACCGUGUAUGGUGGGUAGUUUGACUGGGGCGGUCUCCUCCUAAAGAGUAACGGAGGAGCUCGAAGGUACGCUCAGCGCGGUCGGACAUCGCGCACUGUGUGCAAAGGCAUAAGCGUGCUUGACUGCAAGAUCGACGGAUCAAGCAGGUAGGAAACUAGGACUUAGUGAUCCGGUGGUUCUGUAUGGAAGGGCCAUCGCUCAACGGAUAAAAGGUACUCCGGGGAUAACAGGCUGAUACCGCCCAAGAGUUCAUAUCGACGGCGGUGUUUGGCACCUCGAUGUCGGCUCAUCACAUCCUGGGGCUGUAGUCGGUCCCAAGGGUAUGGCUGUUCGCCAUUUAAAGUGGUACGCGAGCUGGGUUCAGAACGUCGUGAGACAGUUCGGUCCCUAUCUGCCAUGGGCGUUGGAGAUUUGAGAGGGGCUGCUCCUAGUACGAGAGGACCGGAGUGGACGAACCUCUGGUGUUCCGGUUGUCACGCCAGUGGCAUUGCCGGGUAGCUAUGUUCGGAAGCGAUAACCGCUGAAAGCAUCUAAGCGGGAAGCGCGCCUCAAGAUGAGAUCUCCCGGGGCACAAGCCCCCUGAAGGAACCAUGUAGACUACGUGGUUGAUAGGUCAGGUGUGUAAGCGCAGCAAUGCGUUGAGCUAACUGAUACUAAUGAUCCGUGCGGCUUGACCAUAUAACCU
rnacentral:rRNA from 1 species